UAGGGAAUCUUCCACAAUGGACGCAAGUCUGAUGGAGCAACGCCGCGUGAGUGAAGAAGGUUUUCGGAUCGUAAAGCUCUGUUGUUGGUGAAGAAGGAUAGAGGCAGUAACUGGUCUUUAUUUGACGGUAAUCAACCAGAAAGUCACGGCUAACUACGUGCCAGCAGCCGCGGUAAUACGUAGGUGGCAAGCGUUGUCCGGAUUUAUUGGGCGUAAAGCGAGCGCAGGCGGAAUGAUAAGUCUGAUGUGAAAGCCAACGGCUCACCCGUGGAACUGCAUCGGAAACUGUCAUUCUUGAGUGCAGCAGAGGAGAGUGGAAUUCCAUGUGUAGCGGUGGAAUGCGUAGAUAUAUGGAAGAACACCAGUGGCGAAGGCGGCUCUCUGGUCUGCAACUGACGCUGAGGCUCGAAAGCAUGGGUAGCGAACAGG
rnacentral:rRNA from 1 species